rnacentral:rRNA from 1 species
CCUACGGGUGGCAGCAGUGGGGAAUAUUGGGCAAUGGGCGAAAGCCUGACCCAGCAACGCCGCGUGAAGGAAGAAGGCUUUCGGGUUGUAAACUUCUUUUGACAGGGAAGAGCAGCAGACUGUACCUGUCUCCUAAGCCACGUCUAACUACGUGCCAGCAGCCGCGGUAAUACGUAGGUGGCAAGCGUUGUCCGGAUGUACUGGGUGUAACGGGCGUGUAGCCGGGCUGACAAGUCAGAUGUGAAAUCCGGGGGCUCAACCCCCGAACUGCAUUUGAAACUGUUGGUCUUGAGUAUCGGAGAGGCAGGCGGAAUUCCUAGUGUAGCGGUGAAAUGCGUAGAUAUUAGGAGGAACACCAGUGGCGAAGGCGGCCGGCUGGACGACAACUGACGGUGAGGCGCGAAAGCGUGGGGAGCAAACAGGAUUAGAUACCCGAGUAGUC